rnacentral:misc_RNA from 1 species
GAUGAAGAACGUAGCGAAAUGCGAUACUUGUUGUGAAUUGCAGAAUCCCGUGAACCAUCGAGUCUUUGAACGCAAGUUGCGCCCGAAGCCAUUAGGCCGAGGGCACGCCUGCCUGGGCGUCACACGUCGUUGCCCCCCCAUCUACUCCUUCGGGAUUGCGGGGGGCGGAUGAUGGCCUCCCGUGCGCCACGCCGCGCGGUUGGCAUAAAUGCCAAGUCCUCGGCGACGCACGCCACGACAAUCGGUGGUUGCGAAACCUCGGUUGCCCGUCGUGUGCGGUCGUCGCGCAUCGAGGGCUCGAAAAAAUUGCCGGGUUCCGGCUCGGCUUUCAACGCGACCCCAGGUCAGGCGGGGUUACCCGCUGAAUUUAAGCAUAUCAAUAAGCGGAGGA